rnacentral:rRNA from 1 species
CCUACGGGUGGCAGCAGUGGGGAAUAUUGGACAAUGGGCGAAAGCCUGAUCCAGCCAUGCCGCGUGUGUGAAGAAGGCCUUCGGGUUGUAAAGCACUUUCAGUGGGGAAGAAAGCCUUGGGGCUAAUACCCUCGAGGAAGGACAUCACCCACAGAAGAAGCACCGGCUAACUCCGUGCCAGCAGCCGCGGUAAUACGGAGGGUGCGAGCGUGAAUCGGAAUUACUGGGCGUAAAGCGCGCGUAGGCGGUCUGAUAAGCCGGUUGUGAAAGCCCCGGGCUCAACCUGGGAACGGCAUCCGGAACUGUCAGGGUAACGUGCAGGAGAGGCAGGUAGAAUUCCCGGUGUAGCGGUGAAAUGCGUAGAGAUCGGGAGGAAUACCCGUGGCGAAGGCGGCCUUCUGGACUGACACUGACGCUGAGGUGCGAAAGCGUGGGUAGCAAACAGGAUUAGAUACCCGAGUAGUC